rnacentral:rRNA from 1 species
GCUUACGGCCACACCGGCCUGAGUACAGCCUGAUCUCGUCCGAUCUCGGAAGCUAAGCAGGGUCGGGCCUGGUUAGUACUUGGAUGGGAGACCGCCUGGGAAUACCAGGUGCUGUAAGCU